rnacentral:lncRNA from 1 species
AUAAUAUUUGCAAAGUAACAGUAAAAUUUUAUGGUUCGUGUAGAAAGAGUGCCAUGAUUUCUAUCCGUUGAAAACCACUUGCAACAUUGACUCUUUGGGAGUUUUUAAUUAGAUAUAAGAAGAUGUGGUAUGAGUGCCAAUGCUAAAUUUCUGUCCACAUAAAGUGUACCCUCAUUUUCAAGUGAAAGUCCAAAUGUCACAACAUUCAUCUGGAUCUAUACUGAUUACAAAACCUAUACCUAUUGUAUUUAUGAUUAGUUUGUUCUCUUCCCAAACAUGAAUGACAUAUUCGCCACAGUACUACAUAAAUCCAAGAUGAGCAAUUAAUCAAUCAAGUCGAAACAGAAAGUAGAUUUCCAAAAAAACAUAUUUAAUUACGUAAUAAUAAUGUAUUCUAUUGUCACAUGCUGUAUACGCUGAAACCUGACAGCUAUGCAUGAGUGCCAUUCUUGUUAGUGAAACCUUUAUCAUUGCAUAUGAAGAAACAAAAACAAUUAUUUUUUAAAUUCACAAAAAACUUGCUUUAUUGACAAUAUGUAUACUUUCGAUUUCCAUUUUUUUUCUUACUACAAGCGUCUGUUUCGAUUACUAGUAUAGCAAUUAUUAUACAAUUUUUUCAUCGCAACAUGCGUUUUAAUCCCUUCUAACUGUGACUUUUACUCUAUUUCUAUACAUGUCUGUACAAUGCAG